rnacentral:pre_miRNA from 1 species
UUUAUACUCCCUUCGUCCCAAAUUAACUGACGUGGAUUUGUAUAGACUCUUAUACAAAUCCACGUCAGUUAAUUCGGGACGGAGGGAGUAUAUU